rnacentral:rRNA from 1 species
CGACCGCUGGCGGCGUGCUUACCACAUGCAAGUCGAACGGAAAGGCCCCUUUGGGGGUACUCGAGUGGCGAACGGGUGAGUAACACGUGAGUAACCUGCCCUUGACUUCGGGAUAACUUCAGGAAACUGGGGCUAAUACCGGAUAGGAAUCCUUGCUGCAUGGUGGGGGUUGGAAAGCUUCGGCGGUUUUGGAUGGACUCGCGGCUUAUCAGCUUGUUGGUGGGGUAGUGGCUUACCAAGGCUUUGACGGGUAGCCGGCCUGAGAGGGCGACCGGCCACAUUGGGACUGAGAUACGGCCCAGACUCCUACGGGAGGCAGCAGGGGGGAAUAUUGCACAAUGGGCGGAAGCCUGAUGCAGCAACGCCGCGUGCGGGAUGACGGCCUUCGGGUUGUAAACCGCUUUCAGCAGGGGCGAAGCUUGUGGUGACGGUACCUGCAGAAGAAGCACCGGCUAACUACGUG